GUUCAGUUCAGUUCAGUCGCUCAGUCGUGUCUGACUCUUUGCUACCCCAUGAAUCACAGCACGCCAGGCCUCCCUGUCCAUCACCAACUCCGGGAGUUCACUCAGACUCAUGUCCAUCGAGCCAGUGAUGCCAUCCAGCCAUCUCAUCCUCAGUCAUCCCCUUCUUCUCCUACCGCAAUCCCUCCCAGCAUCAAAGUCUUUUCCAAUGAGUCAACUCUUCACAUGAGGUGGCCAAAGUACUGGAGUUUCAGCUUUAGCAUCAUUUGUCCACAACCAUAGAAUGUACAAUAUCAAAAGUGAAGUCUAAGAGGUGGUUCUGGCUCCUGUCAAGAUUGAAUAAGCAAUAUUCACCUUGUGUGAAAGGAGGGCAUAUCUACCCACUACAGUAUUUGCCUGGAGAAUCCCAUGGACAGAGGAGCCUGGCAGGCUACAGACUAUGAGGUCACAAAGAGCCAGACAUGACUGAGUGAUUAAGCACACACACAGCAACCUGUCUUAACUGCAUAACCACCUGAGGACUUUGGAGAGUAAUAGCAGCUGGAUUCCAUUCAGGAUAGUGAUCGUGUCUCCUUAUGCUCAUUUCGACUGUAGACAAUUUUUGAAAUCUUCCUUAUUUCUGAUGACCUUGACAAUUUUGAGGGGUACUGGUUAGAGAGCUUAUAGGAUAUUCCUCAGCUGGGGUUUUUUUUCAUAAUUGGACCAUUGCAAUGGUUUUUUUGAGGAUGACUGCCACCACAGCUGCCCGCGCCCCUUGCCCAGGGGCGGCAGCCAAGAGGAGUUACCCCACAUCAGAGGUCAGGGGCAGUGGCCGAGAGUGCCCAGCUGCAACAGCACAGGGAUGGCUGAGAGGAGCUACCCCGCAUCCUGGGUCAGGGGCGGCGGCCAGGAGGAGUAACCCCACGUCCAAGGAGCUGUGGCUGCGUGGGUGCAGGAGGGCCUAGAGGAGCUAUUCCACAUUCGAGGUCAGGAGGGGCGGUGGUGAGGAAAUACCCCUCAUCCAAGGUAAGGAGCAGCGGCUACACUUUGCUGGAGCAGCAGUGAAGAGAUACCCCGCAUCCAAGAUGCAUGCUUUAUCUUCUCUGGAAUGAAUAUGUAAGAGUGGAAUUGCUGGAUCAUAGGGAAGAUAUGCAACUAACAACUUUUUUUUAACCAAGAUGGUCUUGGCAAUAAUUUUUUAGAUAUGAGAAUAAAUGUGUAGGAAACAAAAACAAAAAAAUAAUAGUUGGACUACAUAAAACUAAAAACCUCUUCACAGCAAAGGCAACAAAGAAGAAAAUGACAAUAAAAUUUAUGAAAUGGGAGAAAAAAAUUGCAAAUCUUAUCUGGUGAGGCAAAUAUCAAAAUAUAUUAAUUCAUACAAGUAAACAGCAAAAAAAGAAAAAAAAUUAAAAAUGGACAAAGGACAUGAACAGAUAUUCUUCCAAAGAAGACGUAAAAAUGGUCAACAUAUACAUGAAAAUGUGCUCAACCUCAAUAAUCAACAGGGAAAUAUAAAUCAAAACCACAGUGUGACACUACUUCAAAUCAAUUUCAUUCCUUUGCAAAUGGAUAUUCA
ensembl:lncRNA